AGAGUUUGAUCCUGGCUUCGGCCAGGUGAGAGUGGCGGACGGGUGAGUAACGCGUGGGAACCUGCCCAUUGGUCUGGGAUAACUGCGGGAAACUGCAGCUAAUACCGGAUGUACCCGAGAGGGGAAAGAUUUAUCGCCGAUGGAGGGGCCCGCGUCAGAUUAGGUAGUUGGUGAGGUAACGGCUCACCAAGCCUACGAUCUGUAGCUGGUCUGAGAGGAUGAUCAGCCACACUGGGACUGAGAUACGGCCCAGACUCCUACGGGAGGCAGCAGUGGGGAAUAUUGGACAAUGGGGGCAACCCUGAUCCAGCAAUGCCGCGUGAGUGAUGAAGGCCUUAGGGUUGUAAAGCUCUUUUACCAGGGACGAUGAUGACGGUACCUGGAGAAUAAGCCCCGGCUAACUUCGUG
rnacentral:rRNA from 1 species